GAUGAACGCUAGCGGAAGGCAUAAUACAUGCAAGUCGAACGGAUGUAGCAAUACAUUAGUGGCGCACGGGUGCGUAACGCGUAUGCAACCUACCUUCAUCAGGGGGAUAACUACCCGAAAGGGUGGCUAACACCGCAUAAUACUAUUGAGUGGCAACACUUGAUAUUUAAAUCUGAGGAGGAUGAAGAUGGGCAUGCGUCUGAUUAGCUAGUUGGUGUGGUAACGGCGCACCAAGGCGACGAUCAGUAGGGGAACUGAGAGGUUGGUCCCCCACACUGGCACUGAGAUACGGGCCAGACUCCUACGGGAGGCAGCAGUAGGGAAUAUUGGUCAAUGGUGGGAACACUGAACCAGCCAUUCCGCGUGCAGGAAGAAGGGUCUCUGACUUGUAAACUGCUUUAGCAAGGGAAGAAAAAGCUCAUGCGUGAGAAAUUGACGGUACCUUGAGAAUAAGCACCGGCUAACUACGUGCCAGCCGCCGCUGUAAAAC
rnacentral:rRNA from 1 species